AACGAACGCUGGCGGCAGGCCUAACACAUGCAAGUCGAACGGGCAUCUUUCGGGAUGUUAGUGGCGGACGGGUGAGUAACGCGUGGGAACGUGCCCUUUGGUUCGGAAUAGCCCCGGGAAACUGGGAGUAAUACUGGAUAAGCCCUUCGGGGGAAAGAUUUAUCGCCAAAGGAUCGGCCCGCGUUGGAUUAGGUAGUUGGUGGGGUAAUGGCCUACCAAGCCGACGAUCCAUAGCUGGUUUGAGAGGAUGAUCAGCCACACUGGGACUGAGACACGGCCCAGACUCCUACGGGAGGCAGCAGUGGGGAAUCUUAGACAAUGGGGGAAACCCUGAUCUAGCCAUGCCGCGUGAGCGAUGAAGGCCUUAGGGUUGUAAAGCUCUUUCAGUGGGGAAGAUAAUGACGGUACCCACAGAAGAAGCCCCGGCUAACUCCGUGCCAGCCGCCGCCGUAACAC
rnacentral:rRNA from 1 species